rnacentral:rRNA from 1 species
CGCCCUUCAGAGGGGGACGAACAGUUGGAAACGACUGCUAAUACCGCAUACGAUCUAAUCUCGGCAUCGAGGAUAGAUGAAAGGUGGCCUCUACAUGUAAGCUAUCACUGAAGGAGGGGAUUGCGUCUGAUUAGCUAGUUGGAGGGGUAACGGCCCACCAAGGCGAUGAUCAGUAGCCGGUCUGAGAGGAUGAACGGCCACAUUGGGACUGAGACACGGCCCAGACUCCUACGGGAGGCAGCAUG